UGGUUGAGAGACAGAACAGUUUGACUUGAGCACUAACUUUCUCAUUCUUAGCAAGUUUCAUAUCAGAGGUUUUGUGAUAUUUUCAAAAGAAAGCUUAAAUGUUCCUCUUAUGGUUCUCUCAUGUCACUCAAAUGGUGUAUGAUUCCUCACCAAGGCAUAUGGUAAGAGUUGCCUUCUCUAUUUCAUCCUAUUUCUAAAAGGCUUAUGUGGAGUUCAAGGUAGGGAUGAAAGGAGAUAGCAUACUUACUUUGCAUGUAUUGCGAAGUCAAAGCUCGGAUCCUUGAAGAGAAGUGUCAUACUCCCAGAUCAAGAUGUGCAAGUGUGAUAUAUGGUGGACUAGGUUGCUCCUUUAUUUGAUAGACUCUCUAUGUAUUGAGACAUGUCCAUCUUUUUAUUCCAUCUUUUUUUUUAUAUAUAUGAGCUUUCAUGUGCUCAAUUUUCUUUUUCUGUGGACUUGCACAUGCCUAGCCUUUUGAUGUCUCAUUUACCAAAUAAUGCUUAGAGAGAUGUUCUAACAUUUAGAGUAUGGAGCAACCUAUUUAGUGGAUGCGAAAUACAUGUGGUUGCGUACUUCCAGUGUAGAAGCAGCAUAUAUAUAUGUGGUGUGUACGUGGUCUUGAUCUUAGGAGCAUGAAAAGUCUCUUAACAAGGGUCAACAAGACUUGACGACACUCAACACAAAGCAAAUAGCUUAUGUGGAAAGGUUGCAAUUAUGUAAAGUAGAUAUGGCUGUGGUAGGAAUUCAUCACCAUUGAGGAACAAUUAAGGUUUUGAUCAUUUUAAGAAUAAAUCUCUGAUAAUCAUGCAUGCUUAGAAAAAUAUUAUAGUAGCUCUUGUCUUACUAUCUCAUGUCCCACAACAACUUAGACUUAGUUCUAGCACUUGCAACCCAC
rnacentral:lncRNA from 1 species